rnacentral:rRNA from 1 species
CGGGGCUAAUACCGAAUGAUAGAGUGUGGCGCAUGCCACGCUUUUGAAAGAUGGUUUCGGCUAUCGCUUACAGAUGGGCCCGCGGUGCAUUAGCUAGUUGGUAGGGUAAUGGCCUACCAAGGCAACGAUGCAUAGCCGACCUGAGAGGGUGAUCGGCCACACUGGGACUGAGACACGGCCCAGACUCCUACGGGAGGCAGCAGUAGGGAAUCUUCCGCAAUGGACGAAAGUCUGACGGAGCAACGCCGCGUGUAUGAAGAAGGUUUUCGGAUCGUAAAGUACUGUUGUUAGAGAAGAACAAGGAUAAGAGUAACUGCUUGUCCCUUGACGGUAUCUAACCAGAAAGCCACGGCUAACUACGUGCCAGCAGCCGCGGUAAUACGUAGGUGGCAAGCGUUGUCCGGAUUUAUUGGGCGUAAAGCGCGCGCAGGCGGUCUUUUAAGUCUGAUGUGAAAGCCCCCGGCUUAACCGGGGAGGGUCAUUGGAAACUGGAAGACUGGAGUGCAGAAGAGGAGAGUGGAAUUCCACGUGUAGCGGUGAAAUGCGUAGAUAUGUGGAGGAACACCAGUGGCGAAGGCGACUCUCUGGUCUGUAACUGACGCUGAGGCGCGAAAGCGUGGGGAGCAAACAGGAUU